rnacentral:rRNA from 1 species
GACGAACGCUGGCGGUGUGCCUCAAACAUGCAAGUCGAGGGAGGGUUGGCGUCUGGCUUGCCAGACGUUCAACUCUACCGGCGAACGGGUGAGUAACACGUGGGCAAUCUGCCCUGAAGACGGGGACAACCUCGGGAAACCGUGGCUAAUACCCGAUACCCUCCUUGGGGGGCAUCCCCUGGGGAAGGAAAGGUCCGCAAGGUCCGCUUCAGGAGGAGCCCGCGGCCUAUCAGCUUGUUGGUGGGGUCACGGCCACCAAGGCUAUGACGGGUAGCUGGUCUGAGAGGACGAUCAGCCACACUGGGACUGAGACACGGCCCAGACUCCUACGGGAGGCAGCAGUGGGGAAUCUUGCGCAAUGGGCGAAAGCCUGACGCAGCGACGCCGCGUGAGGGAUGACGGCCU